AUGGGUAACCAUCCGUGGGCUAUAAUAGGAGAUUUCAAUGAGAUUUUGUAUGCAAAUGAAAAGGAGGGAGGUAAUCCUCGACCGAACAAUAUGAUGCAAGCUUUCCGGGACUGCUUGGUGGAGUGUGGACUAGAGGACAUGGGCUAUACGGGAGACUUGUACACUUGGAGGAGAGGAGAGAUUAGGGAAAGAUUGGACCGGGUGUGUAACUUGCAGUGGUCUACCAAAUUUCCGAAAGGGGCGUUGAUCAAUGAGAGUCAUGUCCAUUCGGAUCAUAGACCAAUUAUACUUGACACCGAGUACCAGGAGGGUGUUCAAUUUAGCAGGACGACAUGA
rnacentral:rRNA from 1 species